rnacentral:rRNA from 1 species
UACGGAAGGCAGCAGUGGGGAAUAUUGCACAAUGGGGGAAACCCUGAUGCAGCGACGCAGCGUGCGGGAUGACGGCCUUCGGGUUGUAAACCGCUUUCAGCAGGGAAGAAGCGAAAGUGACGGUACCUGCAGAAGAAGUACCGGCUAACUACGUGCCAGCAGCCGCGGUAAUACGUAGGGUACGAGCGUUGUCCGGAAUUAUUGGGCGUAAAGAGCUCGUAGGUGGUUGGUCACGUCUGCUGUGGAAACGCAACGCUUAACGUUGCGCGGGCAGUGGGUACGGGCUGACUAGAGUGCAGUAGGGGAGUCUGGAAUUCCUGGUGUAGCGGUGAAAUGCGCAGAUAUCAGGAGGAACACCGGUGGCGAAGGCGGGACUCUGGGCUGUAACUGACACUGAGGAGCGAAAGCAUGGGGAGCGAACAGGGAUUAGGAUACC